UUGGAGGGCAAGUCUGGUGCCAGCAGCCGCGGUAAUUCCAGCUCCAAUAGCGUAUAUUAAAGUUGUUGCAGUUAAAAAGCUCGUAGUUGAAUUUCGGAGUUUGUCGGUCGGUCGGGCUUCACUGUCCGCACUGGCCUGACGGAUUCCUACCUUCUGAAUAACCAGCAUGCUAUUAAGUUAGUGCGUUGGGGAAGCAGAGCUAUUACCUUGAAAAAAUUAGAGUGCUUAAAGCAGGCUUAUGCUUGAAUAGAUUAGCAUGGAAUAAUAAAAUAGGACGGCAUGGUCCUAUUUUGUUGGUUUCUAGGAUCACCGUAAUGAUUAAUAGGGAUAGUUGGAGGCAUUAGUAUUCAAUUGUCAGAGGUGAAAUUCUUGGAUUUAUUGAAGACUAACUACUGCGAAAGCAUUUGCCAAGGAUGUUUUCAUUAAUCAAGAACGAAAGUUAGGGGAUCGAAGACGAUCAGAUACCGUCGUAGUCUUAACCAUAAACUAUGCCGACUAGGGAUCGGACGAAGUUAAUUUUAUAAUGACGCGUUCGGCGCCUUACGGGAAAC
rnacentral:rRNA from 1 species